rnacentral:rRNA from 1 species
UAAUACAGGGGGGGCAAGCGUUGUUCGGAAUUACUGGGCGUAAAGGGUUCGUAGGUGGCCACUUAAGUCAGACGUGAAAUCCCUCAGCUUAACUGGGGAACUGCGUCUGAUACUGAGUGGCUUGAGUGCAGGAGAGGGAUGCGGAAUUCCAGGUGUAGCGGUGAAAUGCGUAGAUAUCUGGAGGAACACCGGUGGCGAAGGCGGCAUCCUGGACUGUAACUGACACUGAGGAACGAAAGCCAGGGGAGCAAACGGG